GAUGAACGCUAGCGGCAGGCUUAAUACAUGCAAGUCGUGGGGCAGCAUGGUGUAGCAAUACACUGAUGGCGACCGGCAAACGGGUGCGGAACACGUACGCAACCUUCCUUUAACUGGAGAAUAGCCCCUCGAAAGAGGGAUUAAUACUCCGUAACAUAGUGAUGAGGCAUCUCAUUAUUAUUAUAGCUCCGGCGGUUAAAGAUGGGCGUGCGCCUGAUUAGAUAGUUGGCGGGGUAACGGCCCACCAAGUCUGCGAUCAGUAACUGGUGUGAGAGCACGACCAGUCACACGGGCACUGAGACACGGGCCCGACUCCUACGGGAGGCAGCAGUAAGGAAUAUUGGUCAAUGGACGCAAGUCUGAACCAGCCAUGCCGCGUGGAGAUUAAGGCCCUNUGGGUUGUAAACUCCUUUUAUCUGGGAAGAAAUGCAGAAAUUCUUUUCUGCUUGACGGUACCAGAGGAAUAAGCACCGGCUAACUCCGUGCCAGCCGCC
rnacentral:rRNA from 1 species